rnacentral:lncRNA from 1 species
UCCUCUCCUCUACCUAUGGCAACUGGAAACUAGAAGAACUAUGUCUUCCAAUUCCAUUCUGAAGUAGUUGAUAAUUCUGUAUCAAAUUCUUAAUACGAUGACUUUAGCACCCGAACUCUCAUAACCAUAAGAUGCAACUAGCACUAGUGAUUCUCUUUCUUCUACUUUUGGAUUAAGAUCUUUCUUCCCUUUCCAUUGAUCGGCGAGGAAAGCAGUAAUUGAACUUGCCCCCAAACUCCACUUGCAGAACUGCUUGCUUACUUAAUUGAAUUAAUCUCUCUCUCGUCCGGUUUAUCUUAUGACUAUAGGAGUUAUCAAAGUUUGAAGUAAGUAUUAAUAGAGUAGAAUCCGCUAGCAAUUAUUAUAAGGGCCUUUUCUUAUUUCUCUUAUGACUAAUAAAGUUGGAAGUCACUUCUAGACUAGCACCUGACUAGGGAAAGCACCCUUCUGGAUUUCUUUCUAGUGAGGUGCACCACUAAAUGAUAUCUUCUCUUUAUAUAGGGAGUUUCGAAUUCUAUACAGGUUUUCUUACUUGACACCGGAGGGGCAUAAUAGAAUAAGUAACACAGGGCUCGGCUCUUUCUUGCGCCUGUAUUCUGCCUUUUUAGUUCAAUUCUGUUCCUCUUUCUCUAGAACACCAACGCACACAGGGCUCUGCCCCGACCCGACCUAUCUACCACUACUAAGAAGAAU